GUGAGGAGGAGUUCAUGUAAAACAUCUUCCAGCUCUUAUUUAUCUAGAGAGGACGACAGAAAACAGCAACAGACAUUUGAACAUGAUGGACUGUAGAACAGGACUGCUGCUGCUGCUGCUGUUGGCUGCUGGAUCCUGUGAGUCUGACUGAGACUCAAACAGUCUGAUCAGACUUACUGACUGUUUACUGUUGUGACUGAUUCAUGAUGUUUUCCUUCUCAGGUGUGAAGUGUGAACAGCUGACUCAGCCAGCCUCUGUGACUGUGCAGCCAGAUCUGCGUCUGACCAUCAGCUGUCAGGUCUCUUAUUCUCAGCGCAGCUACAUGACACACUGGAUCAGACAGCCUGCAGGAAAAGGACUGGAGUGGAUUGGUGGAAAAUAUACUGGAUAUUCAUCCUACAAAGAUUCCCUGAAGAACAAGUUCAACAUUGAUUUAGACUCUUCCAGUAACACAGUGACUCUGAAUGGGCAGAACAGGCAGCCUGAAGACUCUGCUGUGUAUUACGGUGCCAGAGAGCCACAGUGACACAAACAUCAGAACAGCUGAACAAAACCCCCCUCAGAGUCUGAACAGCUGUGACAUAAAACCACCAGAGGGGGCAUUCUGAUACUAUUGAUAAUUUGAAAACUGACUUAUUUGACAGGAGAAACUAGCCCAGAAUACACCCAUGUCAUCAGCUGCUUUUGCCUUUCUGGUUAGAAUUCUGCGUGAAAACAUAAAAUAUGAAGAUUCUGAUGAAGUAAACAUUAUUAAUGGUAUCUGCAUAAACUGAAAUGAAGAUGUUUAAACUCUUUGUAUUUUGUUUCUAAAUUUAACUGACUCCAUUAUGACCA